rnacentral:rRNA from 1 species
UACGUAGGUGGCAAGCGUUGUCCGGAUUUACUGGGCGUAAAGAGUAUGUAGGCGGAUAUUUAAGUCAGAUGUGAAAUUCCCGGGCUUAACCUGGGCGCUGCAUUUGAAACUGGAUAUCUAGAGUGCGGGAGAGGAAAGUGGAAUUCCUAGUGUAGCGGUGAAAUGCGUAGAGAUUAGGAAGAACACCAGUGGCGAAGGCGACUUUCUGGACCGUAACUGACGCUGAGAUACGAAAGCGUGGGGAG